ACGAACGCUGGCGGCGUGCUUAACACAUGCAAGUCGAGCGGUAAGGCCCUUCGGGGUACGCGAGCGGCGAACGGGUGAGUAACACGUGAGCAAUCUGCCCUGCACUUUGGGAUAACCACCGGAAACGGUGGCUAAUACCGGAUAUGACCUUCUGUGGCAUCACAGGUGGUGGAAAGUUCUGGUGGUGCAGGAUGAGCUCGCGGCCUAUCAGCUUGUUGGUGAGGUAAUGGCUCACCAAGGCUUCGACGGGUAGCCGGCCUGAGAGGGUGACCGGCCACACUGGGACUGAGACACGGCCCAGACUCCUACGGGAGGCAGCAGUGGGGAAUAUUGGACAAUGGGCGAAAGCCUGAUCCAGCAACGCCGCGUGAGGGAUGACGGCCUUCGGGUUGUAAACCUCUUUCAGCGCAGACGAAGCGAAAGUGACGGUAUGCGCAGAAGAAGCACCGGCCAACUACGU
rnacentral:rRNA from 1 species